CCUCAUGCGAUGGAAAGGGAGCGAGAGCGACGAGACUGCGAGUGUUGUUGAUGCGACACAAAAGCCGUCCAUCUGAGAGCGGAAGCGCCGCCACUUUCAGUGAGAUAAGUGUCUGGUUGGUGAGGGCUCUGCUCAUGGCCCAUUUUGCUCUUGGUAGGGACACCCUGUUAGCUAGGGCUGGGUUGGAAGAAAAGGUUCCUGACUAGUUGUGGUUUUGAGGGAGACAAGGUCCCCAUUUCCAGGGGCUGCUCAUUUCUCUGGCCAGGACCGGUGUGUCCUCUGCAGCAGGUUAGAUCCAGGAGGAUGACUCCCGGUGGUGAGUUGCUUGCCUUCCUCCCACCUUUUUCUCUCUCUCUCUCUAGUACGUUGGCCAACAUACACCCUUUAACUCUCUGUGUCUGUCCUUGCCUUUCCUUGUGCUGUCUUCCUUCGUAGGACACAGGCAGGGGUGCUAGGUGUGCAACCCCACAGCUUAGGUCUCGGGAGCCAUGGAGAAGUAGGAGCAGAUGAAAAUCAUGUGGCAGUUGGCUCUAAAGUGGAGCGAAGACUGUCGGUGUUAACUCGGUCUCUGUUCAUCAAGUAGGGCCAAUGUAGAUGGGAUGGGAGAGGGAGGCCAGGAUGAGACCAAGAUUUCGAGCACCAACACAGCUUUGGGUAGUGAUGGCUCAUGCUUGGCUUUUGCAGCUGCACUUGCAGAGGAAUUGUCCAGGAGUCCCAGCCGGAGGAGAAACUGGCAAACGUAGACCUGAUCAGCUUGGACAUUCUCCUAAGCAGAAAUAAACAGUACUCAGCUUUCUACCUUCCGCUUAAAAGGCUAACCCUCUCAAGAAGAUGGUUUCUAGAACUACCUUCCAAAUGGCAGUGUUAUCUUCUGAAAGUCAGGGAAACACCCACACCCUAGUUAGAGGGAGCUCAUCUUUGACCUUGGCAUGAAGAGGGCCAAAGCAGAGAGGAGGAUUAAGCCUGUGCGGAGAAGUGUCGAUCCCGAGCCCCCUUACAGCCGCCCCUUCGGCACACCAUGUUCCAUCUGACCGGGAUAGGUCCCAAAUAAGAUUUCACUUCAAAUCUCUAAAAAGCCAAGUAGAAAUCAUUCUGUGGGAAUUUACUG